CUUAAAUUGAAGUAAAAUGAAUUUAAAAAAGGAUAUAGUUAUUAACCUUCCAAAUUUUUUAGGAAAAUGUUUGCAAAAAUAAUAUCUAGAAUAGUGAUGAGUAAAAAAAUGUCCAAAAGAUCUUUAUAGCAUGGCAAGAAUUGAUUGAACGACAGCAAAACUUCCUGUUUUUUAACAUUCAAUUUUAAAUUGACAAUCGACAUAAUACAAUUCAACAUUUUUACCCUAUAUUGCGGUCUAAGUGCAACUGCCUACAAAUAAAUUCAUCGCAUACCGCGUCCGCUCUUGUGUAUUGCCACAAAAGAUUAGCAAGAAUGCGUCAUUCUGCCUUUUUCCUCACAGGCGCAUGUAAGCUUGGUCAUUUGACUUUGAACAUUUAGAUGAAAACUUUCAAGUUUGCAGAAAGAAGCAAAUGCAAAGCUUGGUGAAAGAAAUCAAGUCUGAUUGAUUUGAUGAAAGGGAAUCAAAAGCAAAAGGCUAAAAUCUGAUUGAAGGAAUAUAAGGACUCGCUGAAAAUGCUCUUUGACGCCGAGAUUACUUUGAUCCUGAUGGUGGUCAUGAUAUUAUUAUUUAUUUUCAUAUUCAUCCCAACAUGUUGUUGCUUAUUUGUGAAAAUCUUUAAAAUUACGCGGAAACCAAGAGCAUCUCCGUAUAGAUAUGAAGCCCCAGGCUCUGUUCUUUCCUCGAGUACAGCUUCCGCUCCAAUCGAAGAAGUACCAAACGUAUAUUAUCAACCUUGGUAUGGCGAAGCUUCCAUCAAUGUACCUCUGCAAUGUAAACCACCUCCGAGCUACGACGAGGCCUGCAAAGGCCUGUAUAUUCCCUGCAGAUAAAGUGGAGCACAAUACUGAAGACGAGAAUGUGUUUGACAAUAAAACUUGAAAGCUAAAGAUCAACUUUCCUCCAUGUAUGUGUAUCUUUUGUGUUUACAACUCAAGUUUUAUAAACAUUAAUAAAA